ensembl:lncRNA
GAUAAAAAUAAUGAACCUGAAGCCUUCAUGCCAAACUAUAGGAGUUCACAAGAAGUAAUUAGCAGGAAUGGACCUACUAAUCCCACAAUGCAUCUGUUGAUCAUUCAGAGCAUGGGACUGUAAGGGAAACCGAUCAUGGAAAUGGAUGGAGGGCCCUGAGGAAAUUUCAUAUCUGAUGUGCCAUUCAUCAGUCCAGUGCAGAAGUCAUAAAUUAUGCUUCCUAUUACCGGAUCGGUGUAUCCCAGUUACAAUCCCCCCUUUUUUUCCUCCCUUCUCUCUGUUCCUGCUAUCAAGUUUAUCAGUAAAAAAACUUGAAACUGUG